rnacentral:lncRNA from 1 species
AAUACCUUUAUUUUAUUUUUAUGUGGUGCUGAGGAUCAAACCCAGUGCCUCAUGUGUUCCAGGCAAGCACUCUACCACUGAGCCACAACCCCAGCACACACACCCAAAUCCCCCUUCCCUCCGUCUUUUUUGUUUUUGUUUUUGUUUUGGAACUUGCAAUUCUCCCAUCUUAAUCUCCUGAGUCAACGGGAUUUCAGGUGUGCCUGCCACUGUGCCUGGGUCGUAGGAAGAUUUAUUGAUGUAUAUUUGUAACAUGUUUAGCAUAGAAGCAUACACUUCUAUUUGGCCAUCUUUUAGACAGAGAGGGGGAAAAGGAAACUAUAGCCCAAGGAUUUUUAAAACUUCUUAGGUAACAAGACACUUCAUUCCUCAUUAUAUGAGAUUGACAAACUAAAUCCUAGAUCCAGGGACUUAGUUUACAUGUAGUUCUUUAACAUAAACCUGCAUUUUCUCCAAGACAUUUGAUUUCUACAUGCUAGUCCAACUCAGGUCAGUCUAUCUAUAUAAGGAAAGGAAAACUAAACGAACAAAUUUGUUGCACUUGUAUGUUAUGUCAUUAAACCUUUGUAAUAAUCUUAUUCAGGUUUCAAUCAUUUUAAAGAUGAGGAAGUUGGAACUUCAAAAAGGUUAAGUAACUUAUACAACAUUAUAAAGCCCAGUAUAUGGAAAGACUAAAAUUUGGGUUUCUCUCCACCCGAUCCCAAAACCCAUGCUCUUGCCACUAUACCAUGCUGAUUCCAUGGUAUUUGCAAAGAGAAAGUUCAUUAAUCAGGAAAACAUCCUCAAUUAUAUCCUUCUUAUAAAGGACACAACUUUUUAGGUGGAGUUAUUCCUCAUUACCACCAAAUAUCUUACUCUUUUAUAACAGUUGGAAACAUUAAGUUUAAAACUUGUUUCUUGGUUUCUUCAAUCAUAUUAUUUGCUUCUUAAACCACAUAAUAUUAUACUAAAAAAAUCCAAUAUAUUUGAUUAAUACCAUCACAUGGUUCAAACUUUUAAAAGAAUUUUUAAAAUACAGUGAAGGAAAGAAUCCUUUAACUUUGCCCACUAACUACCCAGAUCCUCUCUCAUAUUAUUAGGCUUUUAAAAUAUCCUUCUAGAGAUUUUUAGACAAAGGUGAGUCAUUUCAUAUAUGUCAAUUUAUUUUUCACAUUUUAACACAAAUGGCAACUUGCUACACACACUUCCUCACCUUCCUUUUU